rnacentral:rRNA from 1 species
UACAGAGGUCCCGAGCGUUGUUCGGAUUCACUGGGCGUAAAGGGUGCGUAGGUGGUUAGGUAAGUCCGAUGUGAAAUCUCCAGGCUCAACCUGGAAAUGGCAUUGGAUACUAUUUAGCUUGAGGAGUGGAGGGGGGACUGGAAUUCUCGGUGUAGCAGUGAAAUGCGUAGAUAUCGAGAGGAACACCAGUGGCGAAGGCGAGUCCCUGGACACUUCCUGACACUGAGGCACGAAAGCUAGGGGAGCAAACAGGAUUAGAAC